rnacentral:rRNA from 1 species
UGCAAGUCGAACGAGGACCUUUGUAUUCGUACGAAGGUAUCCUAGUGGCGAACGGGUGAGUAACACGUAGGUGACCUGCCCCGAAGAGGGGGAUAACCCCGGGAAACUGGAGCUAAUACCCCAUGACCUCCAGGGAGUUAGAGAGCCCUGGAGAAAAGGAGCAAUCCGCUUUGGGAGGGGCCUGCGGCCCAUCAGCUUGUUGGUAGGGUAAUGGCCUACCAAGGCGACGACGGGUAGGGGACCUGAGAGGGUGGCCCCCCACACUGGCACUGAAACACGGGCCAGACACCUACGGGUGGCAGCAGUAGGGAAUAUUGCCCAAUGGGCGAAAGCCUGAGGCAGCAACGCCGCGUGCGCGAUGAAGGCCUUCGGGUUGUAAAGCGCUUUUCUGGGGGAAGAGGAAGGACGGUACCCCAGGAAUAAGUCUCGGCUAACUACGUGCCAGCAGCCGCGGUAAAACGUAGGAGGCAAGCGUUAUCCGGAUUUACUGGGCGUAAAGCGCGUGUAGGCGGUUUGGUAAGUCGGACGUGAAAGCUCCUGGCUCAACUAGGAGACGCCGUUCGAUACUGCCAGACUAGAGGGCAGGAGAGGGAGGUGGAAUUCCGGGUGUAGCGGUGAAAUGCGUAGAUAUCCGGAGGAACACCAGUGGCGAAGGCGGCCUCCUGGCCUGUCCCUGACGCUCAGACGCGAAAGCUAGGGGAGCGAACGGGAUUAGAAACCCCGGUAGUCCUAGCCGUAAACGAUGCAGACUUGGUGUUGGUGGUUUAAAAACCAUCAGUGCCGGAGCUAACGCGGUAAGUCUGCCGCCUGGGGA